GACGAACGCUGGCGGCGUGCUUAACACAUGCAAGUCGAACGGAAAGGCCCUGCUUUUGUGGGGUGCUCGAGUGGCGAACGGGUGAGUAACACGUGAGUAACCUGCCCUUGACUUUGGGAUAACUUCAGGAAACUGGGGCUAAUACCGGAUAGGAGCUCCUGCUGCACGGUGGGGGUUGGAAAGUUUCGGCGGUUGGGGAUGGACUCGCGGCUUAUCAGCUUGUUGGUCGGGUAGUGGCUUACCAAGGCUUUGACGGGUAGGCGGCCUGAGAGGGUGACCGGCGACAUUGGGACUAAGAUACGGCCCAGACUCGUACGGGAGGCAGCAGUCGAGAGUAUUGCGGAAUAGCCGGAAGCCUGUUGCAGAAACGCCGCGGGCGGAAUAACGGCCUUCGGGUUGUAAACCGCUUUCGCCUGUGACGAAGCGUGAGUGACGGUAAUGAGUAAAGAAGCACCGGCUAACUACGUG
rnacentral:rRNA from 1 species